rnacentral:rRNA from 1 species
UACGUAGGGGGCAGGCGUUAUCCGGAUUUACUGGGUGUAAAGGGAGCGUAGACGGUAAAGCAAGUCUGAAGUGAAAUGCCAGUGCUCAACACUGGAACUGCUUUGGAAACUGUUUGGCUGGAGUGCAGGAGAGGUAAGUGGAAUUCCUAGUGUAGCGGUGAAAUGCGUAGAUAUUAGGAGGAACACCAGUGGCGAAGGCGGCUUACUGGACUGUAACUGACGUUGAGGCUCGAAAGCGUGGGGAGCAAACAGG